ACUUCCCCAAGAUAUUGGAAAAUUGGAGAAUUUGGAACUUCUAAGCCUCAGUUCAUGUACUGACUUGGAAGCUAUACCGACUUCCAUUGGAAAGCUGUUAAAUCUAAAACAUCUUGACAUUUCAAACUGCAUCAGCCUUUCAAGUUUACCUGAGGAAUUUGGUAAUUUGUGCAAUCUAAAGAAUCUGGACAUGGCAAGUUGUGCAAGUAUUGAAUUGCCAUUCUCAGUUGUCAAUCUUCAGAAUUUGAAGACGAUAACCUGCGAUGAAGAGACGGCUGCUACAUGGGAAGAUUUCCAGCAUAUGCUUCCCAAUAUGAAGAUAGAGGUUCUUCAUGUUGAUGUUAACUUAAAUUGGCUUCUUUGAAUGACUUUUGUAUAGCAUAUAAUUAAAAUUCUUUUGUAAUAUUUUGUAAUUUCUUUUUGUAUAAAUACAUGAUUUGUAUUAGCUAUUCUCAAUCAAUAAAUUCAAUUUUUAAUUUUUUUAUCAGCUCAUUCUAUUGAUUUAUUUACAUUCUAAUAAGGUGGUAGUAAAUCCUUCUAUGCUUCUCCAACUCUAAAAAGCUUUUUGUAGUCCUUUGGUUCCCUGUUUCUGAGUUCUUCAAUCAUAGAUCAAAGUCGGCAAGAAGCAGUUGAUCCUCAAAAUUUGUCAAGCAUGGUCUUUGUUGCUUUCCAUUGAAUGGAUCAAAAUAUAUAAAUACACACUCACAGUUCCUUUUGUUGGUGAGUCUUUUACUAAAAUAACGAACAACCACUUCGAGUAUUUCCCCUUCCAAAUUUGCCUAUGGAUUAUAGAUAUUGGUGUCACCUUUUUUCCUUAAAUAUUGAACUCUGUGCAUUGGACCUAUAAAGGUGAUAUCAAUUUUUAUUGCAUAUAAAUAAAUCAAAUUUCAUUUUUAGUCCUUAAAAAGGUGAUUUUUCAACAUAUCCUUAAACUAUCCUUAAAUUUCAUUUUUAUUCCCGACUAAAUUCAAAUUUAUUUAACUUAUCCUUAAACUUUUAAAUUUUUGGUCUUCAAACUAUUUUUCAAUAUAUCAACCAAUUGGUCUUCAGACUUGACAAAAUAUGUGGUGAUUUCAUCUGGAAGUACCUUGUCUAUUACAUAAUGACAUCCAUCUCUAUUUGGUUCGUUCAUGGAAAAUUGGAUGCAUUGAUGAGUGCAAUUUGAAAACAUGUCUUAUCAUAUUUAUUAAAUGAUGUGGCAAUACAUGAUUGGAUGCAAUGUAACAUAGUGUAACACAACUAUAUAAGGAUGACACAUACAAAUUAACGUUACACCCUAUUUAUAGUCGUGCCUUGUCUUAGCUUUUCUGGUCUUGACGUGCAUUACAUGUACAUUGACGAAUCUUCAAAUCUCAAUUUGAGAGUGUCAAACAUAAUUCUCAAUUUGUGCAUAUGUAUGAGAAUAACUUCCCAACUUCUUGGAAAAUUAUCAUAAACUUGUUCAAUGUUAACUUUACUCUAAAUUUUGUCGGUAUGUCCUUAACUUGUUCAAUGUUAUAUAUGUUAAGUCAAGUGUACAAACUUCAAGAGGACUUUAAAGCAGAAUUGCUAGGAAAAAUAUUUGAAAGAGAAUAAAGGAUGUUAACCGCCGUUUGGUUCAAGUUAUGGGAUAAAAAAUCAUGUGACUACAAGAAUAUUGCCAUAUACUACGGAUGUUUAUAGCGACGGAUGGAAAACUGUAGGUAUUGAUGUUUUACCUACGGAAGUGGCCGUAGGUAUAGACAUCUAAAAUAAUAAAAUAAAAAAUAUCAAAAUAAUGCAGCGAGCGCGUAAUGAAAUUGUGGACUGUGAAAAACCCCACCUUUUCCCAACUCUAAAUUGCAAAAUGAUAAAAAUAAAACUAAUAAAAAUAAAAUAGAACCCCAACUGGCCAACUCCAUUCUUCACGUUUGUACCGGGCACACUGUAAUAAUAAGUAAGAGCUAUUGUAAUGAAAUGUGAUUUUAUUUGUAGGGUAUCUUUCAAGGAGAAUUUGUAGGUUUGGGGAGUUAUUUGUGGAAAAUGUAAAGGUAUAAUAGUGGAAAAAAUAACAAAUGUUGUAUUGUUAUUUUACGGUGACAAUUAUACAAAAAGAAAAUUCUAAAGAAACAAUUAUUUUAAGACGGAAGGAGGUAUUUGACUAAAAAUUUGUAUCAAAAUAUAAAUCUCUUUUUUAAAUUAUUAAAUAUAUUUAUCGUUUCCUUUUCAAAUAAACUCCUAAUUGAUACCACUGGGUGUUUUGAAAUAUGAUAACUUACACUUUACUACAUAUACAUAUAUACAAAUGAUAUUUUAGAUAAAUUUAUACAUAAAAUGAACAUAUUAACUACACUACCAAAUAUAUUUUAUAAGAGUUAAAAAAAAAAAAAAAAAUUAUAUAUAAGGAUGGAGGAAGUAUAUGACUUUAACCUUUAAUUUCAUCAAAAGUAGUUCGGAAUUAUUGGAAGACAAGGUCACGAGAUUCAUGCUUGAAUUCCAUAGCAGCAUAGACCAUGGCUUCCCGAUAUUUUUGGUUUCUACAUUUUUUGUGUGAAUUUAUAAUAGGUUUUUUACUCAACUUAUUGAGUUUUAAACACUUAAGUUUCUACUGUUUUUUUUUUUUUUUUUUUGUGUGGGCACAAUACUAUUAAAAACUUUUUAAUUAAUCAACUAAAAUAUAAAACAAGCAUGAGCAUAAGUUUGUUAUAAAAUUAUAAAAACAAUGCUAUCCAACAAAUGGAAGAUGAUUUUCUCAGAUUACUUGAUCGUCUAUAUGAUAAUAAUUGAUGAUUUUAACUUUAUUUUUUUGGAUAAAUCAGGAGAAAGGACAUACAUCAAAAGGUAGCACCGACAUCCUAAUUAGAUUGACAUCCCGAUGAAACUCCAUCCUAAGACGCCAUGCUCAAUUUUUUAUUUUAAAAAGGGGGAAGAGUAUAUAAAAGGGGAGGAGACCAAAAACCCUCAAAACAAGAAAGAAAAAGGAAAAGAAAAUCAACAAACUAGGGGAAUCUGUAAUUAGACAGACCACAUCUGUCGUGAAAGAAAUCAAAGUUCAAUUCUGAAGGUAAAGCCGUCAACCAAACUGAACCAUGUAGUGCAUAUCCCAUAUUAGUCAACUUGUCUUCCCGAUAAAAGUCCCCCAUGAACAACCAAGGCCUCUCUUAUAUUCCAAUAGAAAAAAAUUCAUUGGGCAGAUGGCGAGGGCUCUCGCGUAAAACAGGUUCUAUACGGCGGCUUUCUAUAAAUUGUUGUUUCUUUAAAUUUUCUUUUUUCUUUUUUGACAAGAGGAGAGUGACGGGAGCUUCAUAUCAUGUUGAAUCCUUGGAUUAUUGUGCUGCACAAUACCAACUUCAUGCGUGGCUAAUGAACUUGCAGUCAGAGCCAAGCUAGACACAAUGGCCACAACUGCUGGUACUACAUCAUCUGUCAGCAAGAGUUCAUCUGUCAGCAAGAGUUGUGUGCCUAUGUUGCUGUCCACGGGAACCAAGUCUGCAACAAAGGCAGGGAUUACUGGGAUGGGGUCUGGAACCGAAGUAAUGAGACAAGUUGGUGUAACUGAACCAUCCAACGGGGUUGUAGGGACUGUGUGCACCACAAUAUUGUGUGGAUGCACAACUGUGGAUGAGGGAAUGUCUUUAGAAGAGGCAGUGACUUCCUCGUGCACUACAAUGUUCAGCACUGCCGAAGAGCUCACCUCCCUAACCGAAUCCAAGGUAGCACCAUCAAAAUUCUCAUGCACGUCAACGUGCUCUACAUAAGUCAAAAGCGGAGCAGCAGCGACAAGAAGCUUUGGAACACUUUCCUCCUAAGAUUCCUGAUGCGUUCUCUCUACUUCAAGAGGGUCCACGUCAUCGUGCACAACACCGGUAACCAAUUCCAAAACGGGGAUAGCUGAUUGAGGUAACACGCCCUGAGGAGUUGCAUCAGAAACAUUUUGCAAAGCAAAGCUGAAAGAGCUGCUCGAAACAUCCUUAGGAAGAGCAAUGUUUUUAGUUGUAGACCGUUUUGGUGUAUCUAUGAUAGUAGCUGAAGCUGAAGGGUCUGCAACAUCAACAUAUUGCAUGGUACCUGAAGUAGAAGUACCUCUAUCACUACGGUACUGCCAAGGAGAAGGUUUCUUAGUAAGUGGUUCAGCCGCCAUAGGUUUCUUUCCAUGGUCAGUCACCUUAGUUGCCGGGUGCAACCACUUGCAAGUCGAAACAUUAUGUCCAAUGACAUAACAGUGAUGGCAAAAGAGCGGUCUCCUUUCAUAUUGUACUUCAACCUUAAAGGCAAAACCUUCCCGUUCCACAAGAAUUUCAUCAUAGGCUCUUUUAGAUAAGUCAAUGUCCACCAAAAUUUGUCGCAUAGUAUCUGAAAGCCCUAUUUCAUGUCGAGGCAUCCAAAUCUAUCAUAGUACCGACAACACUCGCAAUUUCCUUCGAAGCUCGUUCCCACCAUUGAUCAUUCUAAUAUUUAUCAUUCUAAUGAUGGGUACUAUUUUUUUUUAGAUGUGUUAUUUGAACAAUCCUUUGGUUGACAACUUAUUUGACAACUUAGUUUUACAAAGAAAAAAUAGGUAUUAACACGAAAACCAAAACAAAGAUAAGUAAAACAUAAUGUGAAUACGAGAGAGAAAGUUGUCAAAAAAAUUGUCACAAAUUCAUUUUUACACAUAUCAUUUAUCUUUUUUUUCUUUUCUUAAGGAAGCUAUUUUUUAUUGUUGAUAAUGGUCGUUUGUUUGGAUAAGACUGAGAUAUUGAUUCAUGCAAUAUUGAACUGCUAUGUUUGGAUAAGACUGAGAUAUAUAUUCCCAUUUAAAAGUGUUUUGUUUAACCAACACAUUAGCUUAUCCACUGGAAUAACCUUCACUUUAAAAAAACCUUAAUUAUUCUAAUGGUUGCUGGAAUAUGGUAACCACUCUGGCUACACAAUCGCACAUAGAAAUUGGUAGAGGAAUUACUGGGGUUAUUUUCCAGGAACAUUUUCGUUAAUUACCAUUAAUUAUUCUUAUGGAAGAGUACAUUUUCUACAAAUUCUACUUUCGAAAAUGCCAAACAACAAACACAUGAUUUUUUAUUGGGUUAAUAAUAGUGUUUUAACCCCUGUAAUUUAGGUCAUUUUCUAUUUUACCCUCUGUAAAAGUUUUUUUUUUUGGAUUUCUUCCUUGUAAUUUGAAAUUUUUUGAUUUUGGACCUUCAUCAAUUUUGACCGUACAAAAUCGAAGAUAUGAGGGGUAAACUGAAAUUUGCUCAAAUUACAAUGAAGGUAAACCUAAAUUUGCUCAAAUUACAAGCGGUGAAAUUUUUCAUGAAGAUCCAAAACCAAAAUUCCAUAACUUGAACCAAACACCGGUUAAUGUCCAAGUAUCCUUUAAAUAAUAAUACAUUUAAAUAAUUUAUAACUCAUUUUUUACCAAGUUGUACUUUUCUUUGCAGACCAAACCAAACGUGUGGAAUAUUUAAGGGGAAACAAUAGCGAAAAUUGUACGCAAUGUGACGGAAAGAGACAGAAGAAAGCAAUGAUUUUUCCUUUAAGGGGUAAACGAAACUAUAAAUACCAAGUUUUACACAUCAAAAGUUUCAAUUUCAAAACAUCGUACUACAACAACAAUUGUUAAGGUUCGAUAUACUAUACUACAAACAACAUCGUACUUUUCAUCUUCUAAACAUACUCACGCAACCAACAUUGAAUUUUUCAGCCUUUCAUAACUUGCAUUGUGUUUGUUAUUAGAUUACAACAAAGGAAGGAACAAAUUCAUGAGUAGCGCUACACACAUUAUUACCCUUACAACAAGAUUUCAAUUUCAUGAUGUCUUGAACAAAAUAUCUCAAAUACUUCAAAAAGCACGAAAGGAUUUAUCUCCUGUGGUUCAAGACAUAAAGCAAUACAAUGAUCAUUUGGAUCACCCCAGAGAGGAAAUAAAUAGUCUAAUAGAAGAAAAUGAUGCAGGAGAAAGUGCAUGCAAAUGUUCUUCUGAGAAUGAUUCCUAUGUUGUUGAUGAGAACCAAUCUCUUAUUGUAAAUGAUGUUGAAGAAACACUUUAUAAGCCAAGAGAAAUUCUUGAGCUUCUCAACCACGAAAAUCGGCCUCGUGACUUGUGGCGAAAGAUAGGGAAAGAACUAGCACAAGGUCAUUCUCUUCUUGAUUCUAAUACCAAAUUACUUAUUCGCCUCCAAAAGAUCUUUGAUGUUUUGGAAGAUAAUCCUACAAUCAUGGAGUGCUUCAUGGACAUAGCCUUAUUUCCCGAAGACCAUAGAAUUCCUGUCGCUGCUCUCGUUGAUAUGUGGGCAGAGCUGUAUAGACUAGAUGACAACGGAAUACAAGCAAUGGAAAUCAUCAACAAAUUAGGCAUCAUGAAUUUGGCUAAUGUCAUAAUACCAAGGUACUACGACUAUUAUUAUUAUUAUUAUAUUUUCUUCUAGGCUACUUAAAUUGUUAAAUAUCUCACAUGAAUGAUACUCUACAUAAAUCCUGUCAAAUAAUUUUUUAUCUUUUAAGUAACUAAUUAACCUCUGCUCAUUUACCAGGAAAAAUGCAAGUGACACGGACGAUAACAACUACAAUAAUCACUUCAUCAUCCUUCAUGAUAUUCUAAGAGAACUUGGAAUUUACCAAAGCACCAAGGAACCAUUUGAGCAAAGAAAAAGACUGAUUAUUGACAUUAAUAAAAAUAAAAGUGGGCUCGCGGAGAAGCAGCAAGGCUUGAUGACCUGUAUAUUGUCAAAGUUUAUGAGAUUGUGUGUUAAACGGAAUCCUCAACAGCUCACUGCCCGUAUAUUGUCGGUAUCAGCUGGUUAGUAAUACUUAUACUCCCUUUUUCUAACUUUGACCAUCUAAAAAAUGCUAUUGAAAUUUUUUUGCAAUCUGUUAUUCAUUCCUUUUCCGCAAUUGAUCGCUUGAUUUUCACAUUUGCAGAUGAAACAUGUGCGUUCGAUUGGUCUCAAAUGCAACCAGCUCAGGUCGAGGUUCUGAUUUUAAAUAUUCAUACCAAGCAGUACUCAUUACCCGAGUGGAUUGCAAAAAUGAGUAAACUAAGAGUUCUGAUAAUCACAAACUACGGUUUCCAUCCUUCUAAACUGAACAACAUUGAGCUUCUCGGUUCUUUACAGAACCUGGAAAGAAUCAGACUAGAGCGAAUUUCGGUCCCUUCCUUCGGCACAUUGAAGAAUUUGAAAAAACUAUCUCUCUACAUGUGUAACACAAUACUGGCUUUUGAAAAGGGUAGCAUCCUAAUUUCAGAUGCAUUUGCAAACCUAGAAGAAUUGAACAUUGAUUACUGCAAAGAUUUGGUGGUAUUUCCAACUGGUAUCUGUGAUAUCAUCUCACUAAAGAAGCUCAAUGUUACUAAUUGCCACAAGCUUUUUUCACUUCCCCAAGAUAUUGGAAAAUUGGAGAAUUUGGAACUUCUAAGCCUCAGUUCAUGUACUGACUUGGAAGCUAUACCGACUUCCAUUGGAAAGCUGUUAAAUCUAAGACAUCUUGACAUUUCAAACUGCAUCAGCCUUUCAAGUUUACCUGAGGAAUUUGGUAAUCUUUGCAAUCUAAGAAAUCUGUACAUGGCAAGUUGUGCAGGUAUUGAAUUGCCAUUCUCAGUUUUCAAUCUUCAGAAUUUGAAGACGAUAACCUGCGAUGAAGAGACGGCUGCUACAUGGGAAGAUUUUCAGCAUAUGCUUCCCAAUAUGAAGAUAGAGGUUCUUCAUGUUGAUGUUAACUUAAAUUGGCUUCUUUGAAUGACUUUUGUAUAGCAU
rnacentral:lncRNA from 1 species